CAGCAAUGCCCUGCUCCCAGCAGGAAAACCACUUGGGGUGCAGGUUUGUGAAAGAGGAGCAGGAUUAGGGCUGCAAGGGGGAAAUAGAGUCACCCUGCUCCUGGUCCUGCAGCGUGGAUGUGAGUCUGGGACUGACUGGACUUGGCUGAGCCUCCUGGAUGGGUGUUUGCAGGUUAAAAUAAAACACCAGCACGGUCCCUGCUGGACUUGCAGCUCCUGGAAACAGAGACAGCCCCAGUGUAUAACAGGAUCCUCACUGCUGUUCUGGGGCUUGAAUAACAUUAUGCAUAGACAAGACAUUUUGGGUAAACUUUUGCCCUCAAUAUUAUGACUGAUUUUCUCCUGGCCCUUCAUCCUGCAAAGACAAGAUUUUUCAUCCUGAUUCAGAAUGGGAGGAAUAAUCUCCAGGUGGGAAUUAUUCACAUGCCCUGGUUCAGGACCAGCUGCACCUCAGUCAAC
rnacentral:lncRNA from 1 species